rnacentral:rRNA from 1 species
AUUGAACGCUGGCGGCAUGCCUUACACAUGCAAGUCGAACGGCAGCGGGGGAGAAGCUUGCUUUUCCUGCCGGCGAGUGGCGAACGGGUGAGUAAUACAUCGGAACGUGCCCUGUAGUGGGGGAUAACUAGUCGAAAGAUUAGCUAAUACCGCAUACGACCUGAGGGUGAAAGUGGGGGACCGAAAGGCCUCAUGCUAUAGGAUCGGCCGAUGUCUGAUUAGCUAGUUGGUGGGGUAAAGGCCUACCAAGGCGACGAUCAGUAGCUGGUCUGAGAGGACGAUCAGCCACACUGGGACUGAGACACGGCCCAGACUCCUACGGGAGGCAGCAGUGGGGAAUUUUGGACAAUGGGCGAAAGCCUGAUCCAGCAAUGCCGCGUGUGUGAGGAAGGCCUUCGGGUUGUAAAGCACUUUUGUCCGGAAAGAAAUGGCUCUGGUUAAUGCCUGGGGUCGAUGACGGUACCGGAAGAAUAAGGACCGGCUAACUACGUGCCAGCCGCCGCCGUAA